rnacentral:rRNA from 1 species
UACGGAGGGUGCGAGCGUUAUCCGGAAUUACUGGGUUUAAAGGGUGCGUAGGCGGCCAAGUAAGUCAGGAGUGAAAGUUUGCGGCUCAACCGUAAAAUUGCUUUUGAUACUGCUAGGCUAGAAUUAGGAUGAGGUCAGCGGAAUGUGGCAUGUAGCGGUGAAAUGCAUAGAUAUGCCAUAGAACACCAAUUGCGAAGGCAGCUAGCUAAACCGACAUUGACGCUGAGGCACGAAAGCGUGGGGAGCGAACAGG